rnacentral:rRNA from 1 species
CCAAUAGCGUAUAUUAAAGUUGUUGCAGUUAAAAAGCUCGUAGUUGAAUUUCGGGGUUCAUCCGUUGGUCGGGCUUUUUUGGUCUGUACUGGCGUGAUGGAUUCCUACCUUCUGAAUAACCGGCAUGUCAUUAAUUUGGUGCGCCGGGGAAGCAGGACUGUUACCUUGAAAAAAUUAGAGUGCUUAAAGCAGGCUAUAGCCUGAAUACAUUAGCAUGGAAUAAUGAAAUAGGACGGCAUGGUUCUAUUUUGUUGGUUUCUAGGAUCACCGUAAUGAUUAAUAGUGAUAGUUGGGGGCAUUAGUAUUCAAUUGUCAGAGGUGAAAUUCUUGGAUUUAUUGAAGACUAACUUCUGCGAAAGCAUUUGCCAAGGAUGUUUUCAUUAAUCAAGAACGAAAGUUAGGGGAUCGAAGACGAUCAGAUACCGUCGUAGUCUUAACCAUAAACUAUGCCGACUAGGGAUCGGACGAUGUUAAUUUUUUAAUGACUCGUUCGGCGCCUUACG